rnacentral:rRNA from 1 species
GAUGAACGCUGGCGGCGUGCCUAAUACAUGCAAGUCGAGCGGACCAAAGAGAGCUUGCUCUCUGAGGUUAGCGGCGGACGGGUGAGUAACACGUGGGUAACCUGCCUGUAAGACGGGGAUAACUUCGGGAAACCGAAGCUAAUACCGGAUGAUAAAGAGAAACGCCUGUUUCUUUUUUGAAAGUCGGCCUUGUGCUGACGCUUACAGAUGGGCCCGCGGCGCAUUAGCUAGUUGGUGAGGUAACGGCUCACCAAGGCGACGAUGCGUAGCCGACCUGAGAGGGUGAUCGGCCACACUGGGACUGAGACACGGCCCAGACUCCUACGGGAGGCAGCAGUAGGGAAUCUUCGGCAAUGGGCGAAAGUCUGACCGAGCAACGCCGCGUGAGCGAUGAAGGCCUUCGGGUCGUAAAGCUCUGUUGUCAGAGAAGAACAAGUACCGGAGUAACUGCCGGUACCUUGACGGUACCUGACCAGAAAGCCACGGCUAACUACGUGCCAGCCGCCGCGGUAA